rnacentral:rRNA from 1 species
GAUGAACGCUGACAGAAUGCUUAACACAUGCAAGUCAACUUGAAUUUGGGUUUUUAACUUAGGUUUGGGUGGCGGACGGGUGAGUAACGCGUAAAGAACUUGCCUCACGGCUAUGGACAACAUUUGGAAACGAAUGCUAAUACCUAAUAUUAUGAUAAUAGGGCAUCCUAUAAUUAUGAAAGCUAUAAGCGCUGUGAGAGAGCUUUGCGUCCCAUUAGCUAGUUGGAGAGGUAACGGCUCACCAAGGCGAUGAUGGGUAGCCGGCCUGAGAGGGUGAUCGGCCAAAAGGGGACUGAGACACGGCCCUUACGCCUACGGGAGGCAGAAGUGGGGAAUAUUGGACAAUGGACCGAGAGUCUGAUACAGCAAUUCUGUGUGGACGAUGAAGUUUUUCGGAAUGUAAAGUGCUUUCAGUUGGGAAGAAACAAAUGACGGUACCAACAGAAGAAGUGACGGCUAAAUACGUG